rnacentral:lncRNA from 1 species
GCCGAAGCCUUUCGCAUUUUGCCUAGCAUUCCCUGAUGUACGCCUGUCUCUAGCCAAGCCUGUUGAUCUAAGAGGCAGGGUCUCCAAGACUCAGCCAGUAGGGAGAGCUGGGUGAAUGGAUCCAAUCUGAGAUAGUGCUCCUGUGUGGGUUCCAUGGUGACGGCCACACCCACCCCGCUGCGGCCAGAUGUCAUGCGGGUCACCUCACUCCAGCACCAAAACUUGGAGAAGAAAAGAUAUGGACACUCAAGCGUGGUUUUCACCCUGACCCCAGCCUCCAAGGGCCUCACCGAGGACGUAGAUCCUGCCCUGGUGCACAGUAAUCCCCAGCGCACUGCGGUGAUGCCUCAUGGGGGCUACGAAAGUCCAGGGCUGGGGAUGAGACCUAAACCCUGGAUUCAAGAAAGAGACCAGAGGACUGGAGAGAUGGCUUAGUGGUUAAGAGUACCGCUUCGGAAGGUCCUGAGUUCAAAUCCCAGCAACCACAUGGUGGCUCACAACCAUCCAUAA